GUUAGUGGCGAACGGGUGAGUAACGCAUGGGUGAUCUGCCUCAAAGAGGGGAACAACUGCUCGAAAGGGCUUGUAAUUCCGCAUGUGGUCUAUGCUUUAGGGCAUAGAAGAAAGGGCCUUGGCCCGCUUUGAGAUGAGCCCGUGUCCGAUUAGCUAGUUGGUGAGGGUAAAGGCCCACCAAGGCGAUGAUCGGUAGCUGGUCUGAGAGGACGAUCAGCCACACUGGAACUGAGACACGGUCCAGACUCCUACGGGAGGCAGCAGUAAGGAAUCUUGCACAAUGGGGGAAACCCUGAUGCAGCAACGCCGCGUGAGCGAAGAAGGCCUUCGGGUCGUAAAGCUCUUUUCUGGGGGAUGAGGAAGGACAGUACCUCAGGAACAAGUUUCGGCUAACUACGUGCCAGCAGCCGCGGUAAAACGUAGGAGGCGAGCGUUAUCCGGAUUUAUUGGGCGUAAAGGGCAAGUAGGCGGUGGCAAAAGUCGGGCGUGACAAAUCUUGGCUCAACCGAGAGGGGUCGUUCGAAACUAGGUCACUAGAGGGCAGGAGAGGGAGGCGGAAUUCCUAGUGUAGCAGUGAAAUGCUUAGAGAUUAGGAAGAACACCAGUGGCGAAAGCGGCCUCCUGGUCUGCACCUGACGCUAAGGGGCGAAAGCUAGGGGAGCGAACGGGCUUAGAUACCCCGGUAGUCCUAGCUGUAAACGAUGGAUACUAGAUAUUGGGGGUUAAAACACCCUCAGUGACGAAGCAAACGCGCUAAGUAUCCCGUCUGGGAAGUACGGCCGCAAGGUUAAAACUCAAAGGAAUUGACGGGGGCCCGCACAAGCAGCGGAGCGUGUGGUUUAAUUCGAAGCAACACGAAGAACCUUACCUGGGCUUGACAUGUACAUAGUAGGGAAGCGAAAGCGGACCGGCCCUUCGGGGAGUGUACACAGGUGCUGCAUGGCUGUCGUCAGCUCGUGCCGUGAGGUGUAGGGUUAAGUCCCGUAACGAGCGCAACCCUCGUCGUUAGUUACAAGUGUCUAGCGAGACUGCCGGAUAUAUAACCGGAGGAAGGUGGGGAUGACGUCAAGUCAGCAUGGCCUUUAUGUCCAGGGCGACACACACGCUACAAUGGUCGGUACAAAGGGCGGCGAAGUCGCGAGGCGGAGCGAAUCUCAAAAAGCCGAUCUCAGUCCGGAUUGUAGGCUGCAACCCGCCUGCAUGAAGUUGGAGUUGCUAGUAACCGCAGGUCAGCCAUACUGCGGUGAUACGUUCCCGGGCCUUGUACACACCGCCCGUCACGUCAUGGAAGCUGGCAAUACCUAAAGUCGGUGAGCCGACCUUUAGAGGGGGCAACUGCCUAAGGUAGG
rnacentral:rRNA from 1 species